rnacentral:sRNA from 1 species
AGUUAGAGAGUACUGCCAAUCUGGUUCUGACUGCAGAUACCUCAUGAAUGGAAUGGAAAUGAAUGGGGAGGGGAGUUUCGCUAUCCGCUUUUCAACAACUUCAGCUUUCCGUUUGCACUUGGUUCCAGACAGUCAAAAUUUUUGGUGGUUGUGAAAUGGCUGAAUGUGACUGAGCAUCCAUAGCCAUCAACAGAAGAAAACCUCCCGGGUUCCUAUCCGAGACAUUGGGUCGUCAAAGCCUGAAAGCACCGGAACACCCAAACAAGUCAAAUGGAUCCGUGGGGACGACUACAACCGUCACUACCUACAAG